GUUCUUUUAUUUUCGACCACCACCACAACCGCCACACAGCCACCACCUCCCCACUUUCCGACCACCUUUGGCGAACCCACACCCAGCCGACCAACCGCCGACCGUCGCCCUCCUCUCUCGCUGCACCUUCGUCUCCUUCGACCCCCCCUGCACACUCGUCUCUCUCUCUCUCCUCCGCGACACCGCCGCACCACCGCGCACCCCCCUUACCUUUCUGCCCGUCACUAUUACCCCGCCUGUCGCCGUCGCCGCCGCGAACUGACGCCACCAGCAGGCCUCCGUCGGUGACCCACAUUCUUUCUCUCGCUCCUGCGUGUGUGUGUCUGGUGCAGAACUCGUUCCUCGGAGCUCAGUAAGGACGAUAUCAAGGACAUAAGAAGAGGAUUAUUAUUAUUCUGCAAUCAAGGUACUGCUGGGGACGAUGGUACUGCGUAGUGGCAAGGAUUACCACCUUAUUAAAUCAUCUAGUAAUAGUGCUACUAACUUGUAAGGUUAACUUAACUAGAAUGUAAGACCAUAUUCUUUAAUAUAAAUUAUCAUUGUCAUGUCAUGUAACGUUAACGUUGUUUACUUUAUUAUAUCAUAACAUGUUUAAGUUAUCACUAUUAUCUCAUAAUGUUUAAAUAUGUUAUAUGAUUGUAGCCUUGCACCUUCCUAACCGAAGGUGCGGCAGUAAUGCCUCGACUAAAUAGGUAUUCCGCUGCUAAUUAGAUUAUCUUAAA